rnacentral:rRNA from 1 species
AGUGAACGCUGGCGGUAGGCCUAACACAUGCAAGUCGAACGGCAGCACAGGAGAGCUUGCUCUCUGGGUGGCGAGUGGCGGACGGGUGAGGAAUACAUCGGAAUCUACCUUUUCGUGAGGGAUAACGUAGGGAAACUUACGCUAAUACCGCAUACGACCUUCGGGUGAAAGCAGGGGACCUUCGGGCCUUGCGCGGAUAGAUGAGCCGAUGUCGGAUUAGCUAGUUGGCGGGGUAAAGGCCCACCAAGGCGACGAUCCGUAGCUGGUCUGGAGGGAUGAUCAGCCACAAUGGAACUGGGACACGGGCCAGACUCCUACGGGAGGCAGCAGUGGGGAAUAUUGGACAAUGGGCGCAAGCCUGAUCCAGCCAUACCGCGUGGGUGAAGAAGGCCUUCGGGUUGUAAAGCCCUUUUGUUGGGAAAGAAAAGCAGCCAGUUAAUACCUGGUUGUUCUGACGGUACCCAAAGAAUAAGCACCGGCUAACUUCGUGCCAGCCGCCGCGGUAA